UUAAGUUAUUAAGGGCGCACGGUGGAUGCCUUGGCACUAGAAGCCGAUGAAGGACGUUACUAACGACGAUAUGCUUUGGGGAGCUGUAAGUAAGCUUUGAUCCAGAGAUUUCCGAAUGGGGAAACCCAGCAUGAGUUAUGUCAUGUUAUCGAUAUGUGAAUACAUAGCAUAUCAGAAGGCACACCCGGAGAACUGAAACAUCUUAGUACCCGGAGGAAGAGAAAGAAAAUUCGAUUCCCUUAGUAGCGGCGAGCGAAACGGGAAGAGCCCAAACCAACAAGCUUGCUUGUUGGGGUUGUAGGACACUCUAUACGGAGUUACAAAGGACGACAUUAGACGAAUCAUCUGGAAAGAUGAAUCAAAGAAGGUAAUAAUCCUGUAGUCGAAAAUGUUGUCUCUCUUGAGUGGAUCCUGAGUACGACGGAGCACGUGAAAUUCCGUCGGAAUCUGGGAGGACCAUCUCCUAAGGCUAAAUACUCUCUAGUGACCGAUAGUGAACCAGUACCGUGAGGGAAAGGUGAAAAGCACCCCGGAAGGGGAGUGAAAUAGAACCUGAAACCGUGUGCUUACAAGUAGUCAGAGCCCGUUAAUGGGUGAUGGCGUGCCUUUUGUAGAAUGAACCGGCGAGUUACGAUUUGAUGCAAGGUUAAGCAGUAAAUGUGGAGCCGUAGCGAAAGCGAGUCUGAAUAGGGCGUUUAGUAUUUGGUCGUAGACCCGAAACCAGGUGAUCUACCCUUGGUCAGGUUGAAGUUCAGGUAACACUGAAUGGAGGACCGAACCGACUUACGUUGAAAAGUGAGCGGAUGAACUGAGGGUAGCGGAGAAAUUCCAAUCGAACCUGGAGAUAGCUGGUUCUCUCCGAAAUAGCUUUAGGGCUAGCCUCAAGUGAUGAUUAUUGGAGGUAGAGCACUGUUUGGACGAGGGGCCCCUCUCGGGUUACCGAAUUCAGACAAACUCCGAAUGCCAAUUAAUUUAACUUGGGAGUCAGAACAUGGGUGAUAAGGUCCGUGUUCGAAAGGGAAACAGCCCAGACCACCAGCUAAGGUCCCAAAAUAUAUGUUAAGUGGAAAAGGAUGUGGCGUUGCCCAGACAACUAGGAUGUUGGCUUAGAAGCAGCCAUCAUUUAAAGAGUGCGUAAUAGCUCACUAGUCGAGUGACACUGCGCCGAAAAUGUACCGGGGCUAAACAUAUUACCGAAGCUGUGGAUUGUCCUUUGGACAAUGGUAGGAGAGCGUUCUAAGGGCGUUGAAGCAUGAUCGUAAGGACAUGUGGAGCGCUUAGAAGUGAGAAUGCCGGUGUGAGUAGCGAAAGACGGGUGAGAAUCCCGUCCACCGAUUGACUAAGGUUUCCAGAGGAAGGCUCGUCCGCUCUGGGUUAGUCGGGUCCUAAGCUGAGGCCGACAGGCGUAGGCGAUGGAUAACAGGUUGAUAUUCCUGUACCACCUAUAAUCGUUUUAAUCGAUGGGGGGACGCAGUAGGAUAGGCGAAGCGUGCGAUUGGAUUGCACGUCUAAGCAGUAAGGCUGAGUAUUAGGCAAAUCCGGUACUCGUUAAGGCUGAGCUGUGAUGGGGAGAAGACAUUGNNNNNNNNNNGUCUUCGAGUCGUUGAUUUCACACUGCCGAGAAAAGCCUCUAGAUAGAAAAUAGGUGCCCGUACCGCAAACCGACACAGGUAGUCAAGAUGAGAAUUCUAAGGUGAGCGAGCGAACUCUCGUUAAGGAACUCGGCAAAAUGACCCCGUAACUUCGGGAGAAGGGGUGCUCUUUAGGGUUAACGCCCAGAAGAGCCGCAGUGAAUAGGCCCAAGCGACUGUUUAUCAAAAACACAGGUCUCUGCUAAACCGUAAGGUGAUGUAUAGGGGCUGACGCCUGCCCGGUGCUGGAAGGUUAAGAGGAGUGGUUAGCUUCUGCGAAGCUACGAAUCGAAGCCCCAGUAAACGGCGGCCGUAACUAUAACGGUCCUAAGGUAGCGAAAUUCCUUGUCGGGUAAGUUCCGACCCGCACGAAAGGCGUAACGAUUUGGGCACUGUCUCAACGAGAGACUCGGUGAAAUCAUAGUACCUGUGAAGAUGCAGGUUACCCGCGACAGGACGGAAAGACCCCGUGGAGCUUUACUGUAGCCUGAUAUUGAAAUUCGGCACAGCUUGUACAGGAUAGGUAGGAGCCUUUGAAACGUGAGCGCUAGCUUACGUGGAGGCGCUGGUGGGAUACUACCCUAGCUGUGUUGGCUUUCUAACCCGCACCACUUAUCGUGGUGGGAGACAGUGUCAGGCGGGCAGUUUGACUGGGGCGGUCGCCUCCUAAAAGGUAACGGAGGCGCUCAAAGGUUCCCUCAGAAUGGUUGGAAAUCAUUCAUAGAGUGUAAAGGCAUAAGGGAGCUUGACUGCGAGACCUACAAGUCGAGCAGGGUCGAAAGACGGACUUAGUGAUCCGGUGGUUCCGCAUGGAAGGGCCAUCGCUCAACGGAUAAAAGCUACCCCGGGGAUAACAGGCUUAUCUCCCCCAAGAGUUCACAUCGACGGGGAGGUUUGGCACCUCGAUGUCGGCUCAUCGCAUCCUGGGGCUGUAGUCGGUCCCAAGGGUUGGGCUGUUCGCCCAUUAAAGCGGUACGCGAGCUGGGUUCAGAACGUCGUGAGACAGUUCGGUCCCUAUCCGUCGUGGGCGUAGGAAAUUUGAGAGGAGCUGUCCUUAGUACGAGAGGACCGGGAUGGACAUACCUCUGGUGUACCAGUUGUCGUGCCAACGGCAUAGCUGGGUAGCUAUGUGUGGACGGGAUAAGUGCUGAAAGCAUCUAAGCAUGAAGCCCCCCUCAAGAUGAGAUUUCCCAACUUCGGUUAUAAGAUCCCUCAAAGAUGAUGAGGUUAAUAGGUUCGAGGUGGAAGCAUGGUGACAUGUGGAGCUGACGAAUACUAAUCGAUCGAAGACUUAAUCAA
rnacentral:rRNA from 1 species